AUACAGAGGGUGCAAGCGUUAAUCGGAAUUACUGGGCGUAAAGCGUGUGUAGGUGGUUGUAUAAGUUAGAUGUGAAAUCCCCGGGCUUAACCUGGGCACUGCGUUUAAGACUGUUUAGCUAGAGUACUGUAGAGGAUAGUGGAAUUUCCAGUGUAGCGGUGAAAUGCGUAGAUAUUGGAAGGAACACCAGUGGCGAAGGCGACUAUCUGGACAGAUACUGACACUGAGACACGAAAGCGUGGGGAGC
rnacentral:rRNA from 1 species